UAAAAAAUCGUCUUACGGACCAUCUCUGGCACGCCGUUUAUUGUUGAGUAAAAACAAACGCUUUAAAUAGGAUUCAACAAGCGUGUCGUAAACGGCUCGCACACUUUUGCUGACAAUAAGUGUCAUAAUUUUCCGAAUGGGGUUCAACAACACAUGUAGUGAAUUAUUAUAGGUGAACAUCCAAUUCGAAACCGAAAUUGUUUUUCAACAAGAGAAAAGGAGUCAAGAUGUUCAUCUAUUGGACAUGGCAGCCGGCAAGAACUGCUACAACAUUAACAUUAUUGAUGCUUAUUCGCACUUACAAAUUGUGGACGAACUUGGAUUAAUUCGCCCUUUGAGGGUUGUAUACGUUUGAUUGCGCUCAAAAUGACGUCGAAACAUUUGCGAAAGAAGGGACUUAGUCUUAAUCCAUCUUAGUGUAUAUUUGCAGUAUCUUCAGUAAAAUUUUUAGGAAAUCGAA
rnacentral:sRNA from 1 species